rnacentral:tRNA from 1 species
GCCACCAUGGCUCAGUGGGAGAGCACCUGAUUGACAUGCAGAAGGCCCUGGAUUCAACCUCUGGCAUAUCCAGGUGAAGGAUCAGGUA